rnacentral:snRNA from 1 species
ACAGUUCUCUUUGCCUAUUGUCUUAGAUCAAGUGUAGUAUCUGUUCUUUUCAGUUUAAUCUCUGAAAGUUCCCGUUCAGGGAAUACUUUGAUUAUUCCAAUUUUUGGUCCCCGCGACUUGGCCUCUGUGCUUGCAUAUGUCUUGUUGCACAGUGUCAUUGGGCUUCCCUAUCAUUUUUGUCGAAUUGCCCACUAUGGCAGCACUUUC